AGAGUUUGAUCCUGGCUCAGGAUGAACGCUAGCGGCAGGCCUAACACAUGCAAGUCGAACGGUAACAGAUCUAGCUUGCUAGAUGCUGACGAGUGGCGCACGGGUGAGUAACGCGUAUACAAUCUACCUUUAACUGAGGAAUAGCCCAGAGAAAUUUGGAUUAAUACCUCAUAGUAUUAUAUUAAGGCAUCUUUUUAUAAUUAAAACUUCGGUGGUUAAAGAUGAGUAUGCGUCCUAUUAGUUUGUUGGUAAGGUAAAAGCUUACCAAGACUACGAUAGGUAGGGGGCCUGAAAGGGUGAUCCCCCACACUGGUACUGAGACACGGACCAGACUCCUACGGGAGGCAGCAGUGAGGAAUAUUGCACAAUGGAGGAAACUCUGAUGCAGCCAUGCCGCGUGCAGGAUGAAUGCCCUAUGGGUUGUAAACUGCUUUUAUACAAGAAGAAACCUCGGUACGUGUACCGACUUGACGGUAUUGUAUGAAUAAGCACCGGCUAACUCCGUGCCAGCAGCCGCGGUAAUACGGAGGGUGCAAGCGUUAUCCGGAUUUAUUAGGUUUAAAGGGUCCGCAGGCGGAAUAUUAAGUCAGUGGUGAAAGCCUACAGCUCAACUGUAGAACUGCCAUUGAAACUGUUAUUCUUGAGUAUGGAUGAAGUGGGCGGAAUAUGUCAUGUAGCGGUGAAAUGCAUAGAUAUGACAUGGAACACCAAUUGCGAAGGCAGCUCACUAAACCAUUACUGACGCUCAUGGACGAAAGCGUGGGGAGCGAACAGGAUUAGAUACCCUGGUAGUCCACGCCGUAAACUAUGAUCACUAGAUGUUGGCGAUAUAAUGUCAGCGUUUAAGAGAAAUCGAUAAGUGAUCCACCUGGGGAGUACGUUCGCAAGAAUGAAACUCAAAGGAAUUGACGGGGGCCCGCACAAGCGGAGGAGCAUGUGGUUUAAUUCGAUGAUACGCGAGGAACCUUACCAAGGCUUAAAUGUAAUAUGACCGGUUGAGAGAUCAACCUUUUUUCGAACAGAUUACAAGGUGCUGCAUGGUUGUCGUCAGCUCGUGCCGUGAGGUGUCGGGUUAAGUCCCAUAACGAGCGCAACCCCUAUUUUUAGUUACCAGCGAGUAAUGUCGGGAACUCUAGAAAAACUGCCUGUGCAAACAGAGAGGAAGGUGGGGAUGACGUCAAAUCAUCACGGCCCUUAUGUCUUGGGCUACACACGUGCUACAAUGGUUACUACAAUGUGAUGCCAUCUGGUGACAGAGAGCUAAUCAAUAAAGGUAAUCUCAGUUCGGAUCGGAGUCUGCAACUCGACUCUGUGAAGUUGGAUUCGCUAGUAAUCGUAUAUCAGCAAUGAUACGGUGAAUACGUUCCCGGGCCUUGUACACACCGCCCGUCAAGCCAUGGAAGUUUGGGGUGCCUGAAGUCAGUAACCGUAAGGAACUGCCUAGGGUAAAACAAAUAACUAGGGCUAAGUCGUAACAAGGUAACC
rnacentral:rRNA from 1 species